rnacentral:lncRNA from 1 species
AGAGCAGCAGAGAAAUCACCGUUCCCCAGGCCUUGCCGGGACUACGAGGCAGCAGAGAGCAUUGUGGCAGGACGGUUUUUCCUUCUGAAGGGUGGUUAAUGAGCAAUGUAGGUGAAGACCCCUGAGAGAUACCUGGGCAUCCUGCCCACCCAAAUAGAAGACCGCGUUGAGAUGGCAGUCGGAGAUGGAGCCCAUGACCAGAGAGAGGGACAGAGGAGAGGAGCGCGGGGACAGUGCCGGACACAAAGUAAAAGCGCUGCCAGUUCAUUUAGGAAGUCACUAAGGAGCAGCCCUGUCACAACAGCCUCCAAAGGACAGAGAGUGAACCACAGAGGAAAUUCGAAUGCAUGUACAGUGGGUUCCAUUACCAGGGAGCCUGAGCUUGGGACAAGAGGAGCUCAUCACCACCAGAAAAUACUACCAACAUGCCCAAGAGUUUGUUUCCCAUACUUUUAAAGAAAAAGAAAAAUGGAUGGUUCUGAAAUCACCUGGGUUUGUUUUAUUACAUUAUAUCUUCUGGCAAGAUCAGUGAUGGCAGAUGUGAUUCAGCAAUAGAAGCAUGGCUGUACUGG